GGUCAAGCUACAAAGGGCUAACGGUGGAUACCUAGGCACACAGAGGCGAAGAAGGACGUAGUUACCGACGAUACGCUCCGGGGAGCUGGAAGCAAGCAUUGAGCCGGAGAUUUCCCAAUGGGGCAACCCCAAGAACGGUCACCUGAAUCUAUAGGGUGAUGCGAGCGAACUGGGCGAACUGAAACAUCUUAGUAACCCAAGGAAGAGAAAGCAAAAGCGAUUCCCCUAGUAGCGGCGAGCGAAGAGGGACAAGCCUAAACCAUCGACUAAGGUUGAUGGGGUUGUGGGACAGUGACGUGGACUGUAGCGGUUAAACGAAGCAGCUGAAAACUGCACCAGAGAAGGUGAAAGUCCUGUAGUUGAAAACUUAAGCAGCCUAACUGUAUCCCGAGUAGCACGGAGCCCGUGGAAUUCCGUGUGAAUCAGCGAGGACCACCUCGUAAGGCUAAAUACUCCUGUGUGACCGAUAGAGAAACAGUACCGCGAGGGAAAGGUGAAAAGAACCCCGGAAGGGGAGUGAAAUAGAACAUGAAACCGUUAGCCUACAAGCAAUGGGAGGACGAUUUAACGUCUGACCGUGUGCCUGUUGAAGAAUGAGCCGGCGACUUACAGGCUGUGGCAGGUUAAAUGGGAUGACCAUGAAGCCAAAGUGAAAGCGAGCCUGACAAGGGCGAUAGUCACAGUUUGUAGACCCGAACCCGGGUGAUCUAACCAUGGCCAGGAUAAAGCUAGGGUAAUACCUUGUGGAGGUCCGAACCGACUUCUGUUGAAAAAGGAGCGGAUGAGCUGUGGUUAGGGGUGAAAUGCCAAUCGAACCCGGAGCUAGCUGGUUCUCCCCGAAAUGCGUUUAGGCGCAGCGGUUGUGUACCUUAUGGGGGGGUAAAGCACUAUUUCGCUGCGGGCUGCGAGAGCGGUACCAAAGCGAGAUAAACUCAGAAUACCCUGUAAGCAUCAACCAGUGAGACGGUGGGGGAUAAGCUUCAUCGUCGAAAGGGAAACAGCCCAGACCACCAGCUAAGGUCCCCAAAUAAAUACUAAGUGAUAAAGGAGGUGGGAGUGCAUAGACAACCAGGAGGUUUGCCUAGAAGCAGCAAUCCUUGAAAGAGUGCGUAAUAGCUCACUGGUCAAGCGCUCCUGCGCCGAAAAUGAACGGGGCUAAGUAUUUUACCGAAGCUGUGGACUCAAUGAACAAUAAACAAUGAACAAUGAACAAUGAGAAUAAGAUUGUUAAUUAUUAAUUGUUAAUUAUUAAUUGUUUGGUAGGGGAGCGUUCUGUAUAGGGUGAAGCACUAGCGGCAAGCAGGUGUGGACAGUACAGAAGUGAGAAUGUCGGCUUGAGUAGCGAAAAUAUAUGUGAGAAUCGUAUACCCCGAAAUCCUAAGGGUUCCUCCGGAAGGCUCGUCCGCGGAGGGUUAGUCGGGACCUAAGGCGAGGCCGAAAGGCGUAGUCGAUGGAAA
rnacentral:rRNA from 1 species